UACAGAGGAUGAUUGAAAGAAACACAAUUAGAAAUGACAAAGGGAAUGUUACCACUGACCCCACAGAAAUAGAAACAGCCAUCAGAAACUACUGCAAACACUUCUAUGCAUACAAACUAGAAAACUUCAAAGAGAUGGAUAAAUUCAUGGAGAAAUACACCCUCCCACAACUGAGCCAGGAAGAAAUUGAUUUGCUGUAAACAGACCAAUAACAAGCUCCGAAAUUGAAUCAGUAAUAAAUAACCUACCAACCAAAAAAAGCCCAGAACAUGAUGGAUUCCCAGUCAUAUUCUACUAGAAAUACAAAGAAGAGCUGGUACCAUUUUUACAGGAACUAUUUGAAAAUAUUGAGGAGGAGGAACUCCUCCCCAACUCAUUCUAUGAGGCCAACAUCAUCUUGAUACCAAAAUCUGGCAGACACACACACACACACACACACACACACACACACACACACACACACACACACUCUUCAGGCCAAUACCCUCGAUGAACAUCAAUGCAAAAAUCCUCAACAAAAUACUGGCAAACCAAAUCCAGCAGCACAUCAAAAAGUUAAUCCAUCAUGAUCAAGUAUGCUUCAUCCCCAGGAUGCAAGGUUGCCUCAACAUACACAUAUCAAUUAAUCUGAUUCAUCACAUAAACAAAACUAAAGAUAAAAACCAUGUGGUUAUCUCAAUAUAAGCAGAAAAGGCUUUCAAUAAAAUUCAAUGCCUCUCCAUAUUAAAAACUCUAAAAAAUCUGGGUAUUGAAGAAACAUAGCUCAAAAUGAUGAGCUGUUUUUGUAUCAGUAUCAUGCUGUUUUGGUUACUGUAGCCCUGUAGUAUGGUUUGAAGUUGGGUAACAUGAUGCCUCCAGCUUCGUUCUUUUUGCUGAGGAUUGCUUGGCUAUUAGGGCUCUUUUUUUUGGUUCCAUAUGAAUUUUGAAAUAGUUUGCUCUAGUUCUGUGAGGAAUGCCGUUGGUAAUUUAAUAGGGAUAACUUGCAUCUGUAAAUUACUUUGGGCAGUAUAGCCAUUUUAAUGACAUUAAUUCUUCCUAUCCAUGAGCAUGACAUGUUUUUCCAUUUGUUUGUGUCUUCUCUGAUUUCUUUGAGCAGUGUUUUGUAAUUCUUCUAGAGAUCUCCUAGAGAUCUUUCACCUCCCUGGUUAGCUGUAUUCCUAGGUAUCUUAUUUUUUCUGUGUGUAGCAAUUAUGAAUGGGAUUGUGUUCUUCAUUUGACUCUCUGCUUGACUUGAUGUAUAGGACUGCUAGUAAUUUUUGCACAUUGAUUUUGUAUGCUAAGACUUUGCUAAAGUUUAUCAGCAGAAGAAGCUUUGGGGCCAAGACUAUGGGGCUUUCUAGAUAUAGAAACAUGUCAUCUGUAAACAGAGACAGUUUGACUUCCUGUCUAUUCCUCUCUUCCCUCCUCUGUUUGGAUGCCCUUCCAGUUUUGCACAUUCAGUGUAAUGUUGGCUGUGGGUUUGUCAUGGCUAGCUCUCAUCAUUUUGGCACUUCUGACUAGAAGGGCAAGAGGGGCCAGUGUUGUUGUUACCUGAAAGGUAAGUGCAGCCCACAAAAAUGCAGUGAAGAAGAAGAUGUAUUAUGCAUAUGUUUAAGUUAAUACAAUUGAGAUAUAUUUAGCAGACAGAAUCAAUAGAGUUGAUGAGUGACUGACUGGAUGUGUGGGGAGUUUAUAUCACUCCCAGGUUUUUGACUUGGGCAACCGGGCACUCAUGAAGGAAAAAGGGGAUCCAGGGAGAGGAACUUUUCUGAGGACUGGGGUAGGGCUGAACAGCUGCAUUCGAGGCUGGUGGAGGGUGGGCUGGGCAUGGGAUGCACAAAUGGAAAUUCCACUGGGUCUGCAGCUCACACAUAGGCAUGACCAGCAUAGAGAUAGAGAGGCCCCAGUGCUGCUGAGUAACUGUGAUUCCCCAGGUGAUGGCAUCAGCUGAGAAGGGAAGGAAGCCCAUGAGAGGACACUGAAGAAGGAGUGAGCAGACAAUAAGAAGCCCACAGAAGACAGAGAAGGAACAACUAGAGGGAGAAGCCAAGGCAGGCGUGUGUGGUAACACAUAGGAACUGAGGGAGAGGACAUUUCAAGAUGGUGGGGAUGCCAUACAACAGGACUAUGUGAUGGUUUUUGGCUGUGUCCAUAGGAAGUCACAACAGGCAAGGGAAAGAAACCAGAACCCAGUCAUGGAGUUAAGAAGUGAGUCAGAGAGUAGAUGGGUAGGGACAGUGAGGUAAGGCCUCUUUCUAAGGAAGUUUGGCUGAAGGAUAGACUAGCUGGACACAUGCUGGCUGUGUGGGGUAGAGGGAGGAAUGAUGGAGGGUAGGAGAGCCUUGAGCCUGCGAGAAGAGUCUCUUAGAAUAGAGAAGCUGAAGUUAAAGUUGUGGAAGAGAGUGGGGAUAACUGAGUGACAGAUAAUCAGGAGAAGAAAAGGAGAUCCAGACUCAUGACAGAGAGAUGACCUUUGCCAAGAGCACAGCCGUCUUUCACGGUCACAGAGAGGUAGGACAAAAUGAGUGGUGUUCAAGAAUUGGUUUGUAGCACAAUAUUUCAACUAUGUCCUUUAAAAAGUUUCUCCACAGACACUACCCAAAGCAGUGCUUCACUACAGUGGCAGACAGACCUGAAAAUUUUCAUCUGAAGCAGCAGAGUGAACUGCAGAGGCAGGUCACCAACCAGUGUGGAGGCUAAAAGCGGGCCUCUUUGGGGAUUCCAGGUGGAAGUGUUGGACAUCUGUAGUAUUCCUGGUCUCGAAUCAUCCUGAUAUUCUUCAUUUUGUUAUUCACAUUGGACUAGGGAGGAACAAAGAUCACCACAACUGGCUCCCCUUCAACUAUGUUAGAUGGCAACUUGCCUUCAGUAUGGUGAAACACAUCAGUUAAGACCGGGGUUGUGCAUGGCAGGACUUUCUACAAGGACACCCAGUCUCCUUAAUAAACAUGAGAUGCUCUCUUUCCAGAAUUUCUCUUGCCUGACACAGCAUAGGAAGAUGCUGAACGGCCACACAGUGAUCCAUUGGUCAGUGGUGACAUAAGGAGGUCAGAGGGGAGGAGUGAGGAGAAGUAGGGAAGACUAGGUGGUUGUAGGCCUCCUUCAUCUGUUCAUUGGCUGUGGCAUUAGGCCAGCUACUCUUUGCACUUCUGUAAAGUGAGACGGUCGAUCUUGUCUGCCUCUCUAGAGGAUGGUUGCAGGUGUCAAAUGGGGUAGUUAGGUGGGAGGGCAUUUCACAAAGUUAAAAAAUAUGACUUUGGAGGCUUGUUAUAUUGAUGAGG
rnacentral:lncRNA from 1 species